rnacentral:rRNA from 1 species
CCAUGAAGCUGGAUUCGCUAGUAAUCGCGCAUCAGCCACGGCGCGGUGAAUACGUUCCCGGGCCUUGUACACACCGCCCGUCAAGCCAUGGAAGCCGGGGGGUGCCUGAAGUGCGCUGCCGCAAGGAGCGCCCUAGGGUAAAACCGGUGACUGGGGCUAAGUCGUAACAAGGUACC